GGGAAGGUUCCCGAGCGGCCAAAGGGAGCAGACUGUAAAUCUGCCGACCAUGUCUUCGGUGGUUCGAAUCCACCCCUUCCCACCA
rnacentral:tRNA from 1 species